AACAUCAAAGAGUAAUAGCAAGAGAGAGCACGUCAAUGAGAGCUAUAGAUAAGAGAGAUAAGAAGUUAAAAGGUGACGGAAAAGAGGGAGCUAGCAGCGAGAAAGAGAUUAGGAAAGAGACGAAAAAAUGACAAAAAAAUAAAUGUAAACAAAUUUUUUGAUGAGAAAAAGUUGAAAAAAAUUAAAGAAAAAUUAAAAGGGUUGUUAGUGGCGCCAUCGCGUCCGAGACCUUUUCCCUAUCCUUAUCUCAAAAAGAUAAUUAACAUUGCAUGCUACCUCUUGUUAUACUCUUUGUAAAACAUUCAACAUUAUUGUAAAGGGUGUCCCAGGAAAAAUCUUCUGAUCUCUAAAUGAAAUGCAUGUUAUCUUCAAACAUCCAUUGCCAUCUAUUUUUGUACGUUGACUGGUUAAUAAGAGCCUAAAAUUAGGUUGAAUUUUGAAGGCCAAGAAGGAAAGAGUAAAGACAAAAGAUGAAACAUCAUUGGAUAAUAACGGUGAAAAUGUGUUAAGCAUGGUUGGAAACUGAAUUGUAUGCACCACUGACGUAGCAUAGCAAGAUUGAAAUAAAUCAUUUGCAAACAUCGUCUCUGGUUCGAACGAAAUUACGAAGAAAACUAUAAAGGUUUCAAUUUGCCAUAUAAUUUGCUAUUUACUCUUGGUUUGAAUUAACGAACAGUUAUACCAUGGGAUAAAAGAAAGGUCAACCUUGAAAUAAUCAAUGAAUUAGAGUAAAAAAAAGAUACCUUCCAGCAUGUUGUUAUAAAGGUAAACCAUUGAACGAUCAAAGACUCUGAAAAUCUAUAAAUACAUUUAUUAAAGUAAAUGAAUCAAGAAGGCCUGAAAACACAAAGGAAGAAUCAAAAGAAUCCAUCAGAUAUAAAAGAACUGAAUCUAACAAUUCUCAAUCCAUUUAUCAUUCUCAAUUUUGUGACUUCCGUUUUACUGAAUUUGUCUCCAACUCUCGAUAUAAACUAAAAUAAAUACGGUUGACUAAAUAAUAUUGAAUUAAGCUCGAAACAAGAUAAUUGAAUGGUACCUUCAUUAAAUGAAAUCUAAUUGAUUGGUUUGAAAAGGAAUGCUGUCGAUAAUGAACGUAACGCCAUGGAGACUUGAAGAAUCCAAUAAUAAUGAUUGAAUUGGACAAUAAUCAGAAAAAAAGAGUUGAAACAAAGUGCUAUUUGAACAACGCCUAUCAUUGCUUACCUCAAAUUUUUAAUGAGAGAAACCAAAAAGAGAUAAUUGGAAGAAACGAACCCAGAGAAGUGAAGAUUGAAAACUGAGCAAAAAUGAAGUAAAAUAGACUCAAUUGUUAACCUGAUAUGCAUUAUUAUUCUCAUAAUUUCCUGGUUUCCUAACCACACCCAACAAGUCAAAUGAUAAUUUGUUGAAAGGUUGAAGGGAAGAGGAUAAACAAAAUACAAUUAUGGAUCAAAGGAUAAAAAGGAUUUCGAAGGUUUUCAAAGCAUUGCAAUUCACGAGGCAAAAAUGUGAUUUAGGUAUUGAAGAUUUGUUGCAAUAUAAAGUAACUAUUAUUUGCUUAAGAUCAAAGUUCGUUCAAUGCAUUUGGUGAAAAGGUCAAUUUGGACUCAAGAAUAAGUGUAUGCUGCAAAUACCAAGUGACAAGUUUGCAGAAAUCAAAUUUGAUUCAAGUUAAUUUCAUCAAACACAAGAUCAAAAUAAGAAGACCAGAAAAAGUAAACAAGAUUGAAAUAAGCAAAGAAAAGCAAAUGAAAAAGCUUCAAGGGUAAAUAUACUUGCACACUCAAUUGUGGUUAAGUCUGACUAAACAAUUAUUCAAUUUAGAUUUUUCCAUCUCUGGAAUGGAUCUUAAGAACUUGAUUAUCAUUACUCCAAAUAGUAUAAUGGCGUUUAAUGUGCAUCUAUACUUCCACAUAAGAAACAUACACAACAUACAACAACAUGUAAGACGAAAAAAGGGAAAUAAAUGAAAAGGUGCUUUUCUUUUCCAUCUUUUCUAACCAUUAUCAUCAUUUCGUUCACCAACACUACCAUGAGCAUCUUCAUGCACAUUAUGGUGAAGCAGGCUGAACAAAAAAAUUAUGCAAAGUCAUUAAAGAGUCAAGCAAAAGAAAAGGAUGAUUCAAAGGAGAAGCAAAAAAGUCUGAUGAAGAACCAUCAACAUGGUUCUAAAUAUUUUUUUGCUAACAAAACUUAGAAAAUAACUUCACUGGAUUGAUGUAUAAGAUGCAGGAGACUAGGAACAAAGAAGAAGAUAAACUAUGCAAUUAAAGAAACUUGAAAGUUAUAUUAAUGAUAAUGAUAAUGAAAUUCAUCAUGAGCAUUGAACUAUUAUGGCAAAAGGCAAUAUUUGUUAUGACUGGAAUACAGAAAAUCAAUUUUACCCUGAAGCAAGUAAACAUUGGAAACGUCAAUUUACAGUUGUACUUUGAAAAUACAAUUACAUGGGAAAAAGAAGUGUCAGAAAAAGGAAAGAAACAUUGCAACUAAAAGACUGUUGACCCAAUUCUUUUCUUCAACAUUCUUUUAUCACCUUUUUGUUUUCCGAUAUUUUCUAUUGUGAAAAUUAUAUCAUUAUGGUGGGAAACAGUCAUGAAAGGAUUGCAGAUGAAUGUGGAUAAAAUUGUGACUAAUGAGCCAAACAAAAGGAUACAUUUCGUUUCCAUAUGUGAUACUGGACAGGCCAAGAAAAGCUGAUCAAUUGCAGAGAAAGGAUUGAAAGGAAAAUUGGAACAAAGAGAAAAAGAAAAGUGAAAAAAAUAUUGAAUCACUACUGAGCCAAGAUUAUUUUUUCUCAAUGCAAAGAGCCGCUGGAAUGAUAAGGAAAUUAGCCAACAAUGAAUGAAAUUCAAUGAUAUCUGGAGGAAAACUGACAAUUCAAGUGAAAAAAAGAUGCACCAUGAAAAGUUUAAAGAAUGGAUGAGAAAAAUAACGGAAAAGAUUCAAGAUAUUCAAGAUUUUUCCAAGGAUUCUCCCUGUUCUCUCCAAUAUAAUAUCCAUAAUAAUAGUUAUAAAAUACAAUCUGUCAUAGUUUAAUAUUGAUUCACUCAAGUAUUAAUGUUGAAAAAAAUGAAUAAGAAAAUGAAAUUGAAUUUAAAUUCAAUUUGAACUAAGAUGAUAUUAAUUUCAACUGGCAUUGUUUUUGUCGCAUAUUAAUAGUUGAAAAAGGUUAUUUUAAUAUCAAGUUUCAAAUCAAUUUCAUUUUCUGUUAAAGUAUUUUAAAGGUUCAUUUUUUUUUUGGUUCCUUGAAAAGUAAAUGAAUGAAGAUAUUAAUAAUGACAUUCACUGAUCAUGAUGGUUCACUGAAAUGGAUAAGAUUAAUGAAUAUUGGGUUGGUAAAUUGCCAGGAAUUAAAUUGUAAAUUUAUCAAUCAAUCCAAUUGAAUGAUAUUUGAUAGCAAUGAUUAGCAAAUGAAGAACCAGCUUGGCUAUAAUAAAUUGUUUCUCAUUCAGAAAUGUAUAAAUAAAUAAAUCUUUAUGAUUAAACUGAAUAAAAGUAAUAGCAAGAUUUGUAUUUCAGGGGAAAUAUUGUAAUACCAUUGUUACUGGUAAACAACACAUUAAUAAAUGACUUUGUACUGUAAUAACAAUUUUAAUAAUACAAUAAAAAUGAUGGUUUCUGAUUUAAAGACAGUCUUCAAGUCAACCUGGUGCAUUCAAUGUGCAAAUGAAUGUUGAGCUUGGCAAAUCUGUAAUUUUGAUUAAAUGUU